rnacentral:rRNA from 1 species
UACGUAGGGUGCAGGCGUUAAUCGGAAUUACUGGGCGUAAAGCGUGCGCAGGCGGCCUCUUAAGUCAGAUGUGAAAUCCCCCGGGCUUAACCUGGGAACUGCGUUUGAAACUGGGAGGCUAGAGUGUGGAAGAGGGGGUGGAAUUCCAGGUGUAGCAGUGAAAUGCGUAGAGAUCUGGAGGAACACCGAUGGCGAAGGCAGCCCCUGGGCUGACACCUGGACGCUCAUGCACGAAAGCGUGGG